UACGUAGGGGGCAAGCGUUGUCCGGAUUCAUUGGGCGUAAAGAGCUCGUAGGCGGUUCAGCAAGUCGGGUGUGAAACCUCCAGCUCACCUGGAGACGCCACCCGAUACUGCUGUGACUUGAGUCCGGUAGGGGACCACGGAAUUCCUGGUGUAGCGGUGAAAUGCGCAGAUAUCAGGAGGAACACCGGUGGCGAAGGCGGUGGUCUGGGCCGGAACUGACGCUGAGGAGCGAAAGCGUGGGGAGCGAACAGG
rnacentral:rRNA from 1 species